CACGGGGGCAGCCCUGGUGGCGAGAUGGCGAACGGGCUGAGUCGGACAUCGGAAACGUGCCCAGUCGUGGGGGAUAACGUAGACGAAAGCUACGCUAAUACCGCAUACGAACUGAGGUUGAAAGCGGGGGAUCGCAAGACCUCGCGCGAUUGGAGCGGCCGAUGGCAUAUUAGGUAGUUGGUGGGGUAAAGGCUCACCAAGCCGACGAUCUGUAGCUGGUCUGAGAGGACGACCAGCCACACUGGGACUGAGACACGGCCCAGACUCCNACGGGAGGCAGCAGGUGGGGAAUUCUGGACAAUGGGCGCNAGCCUGAUCCAGCCANUCCGCGUGCAGGANGAAGGCCCNCGGGUUGUAAACUGCUUUUGUACGGAACGAAAAGGCUCUGGUUAAUACCUGGGGCUCAUGACGGUACCGUAAGAAUAAGCACCGGCUAACUACGUGCCAGCAGCCGCGGUAAUACGUAGGGUGCAAGCGUUAAUCGGAAUUACUGGGCGUNAAGCGUGCGCAGGCGGUNAUGUNAGACAGGUGUGAAAUCCCCGGGCUUAACCUGGGAACUGCAUNUGUGACUGCAUAGCUAGAGUACGGCAGAGGGGGAUGGA
rnacentral:rRNA from 2 species